UACGAAGGGGGCUAGCGUUGCUCGGAAUCACUGGGCGUAAAGGGUGCGUAGGCGGGUCUUUAAGUCAGGGGUGAAAUCCUGGAGCUCAACUCCAGAACUGCCUUUGAUACUGAGGAUCUUGAGUAUGGGAGAGGUGAGUGGAACUGCGAGUGUAGAGGUGAAAUUCGUAGAUAUUCGGAAGAACACCAGUGGCGAAGGCGACUUACUGGACACAUAUUGACGCUGAGGUGCGAAAGCGUGGGGAGCAAACAGG
rnacentral:rRNA from 1 species